rnacentral:rRNA from 1 species
AUUGAACGCUGGCGGCAUGCCUUACACAUGCAAGUCGAACGGUAACGGGCCUUCGGGUGCCGACGAGUGGCGAACGGGUGAGUAAUGUAUCGGAGCGUACCUUUCAGUGGGGGAUAACCUGCCGAAAGGCGGGCUAAUACCGCAUAAUCUCUACGGAGAAAAGGUGCCUUGUACUUGUACAAGGUUUCGCUUUAGGAUGAGCCUACGUCGGAUUAGCUAGUUGGUAGGGUAAAGGCCUACCAAGGCAACAAUCCGUAGCUGGUCUGAGAGGACGAUCAGGCACACUGGAACUGAGACACGGUGCAGACUCCUACGGGAGGCAGCAGUGGGGAAUAUUGGACAAUGGGGGAAACCCUGAUCCAGCAAUGCCGCGUGUGCGAUGAAGGCCUGAGGGUUGUAAAGCACUUUCGUUGGAGAAGAAAUGCUCAAAUAUAAUACAUUUGAGAGAUGACGUUAUCCAAAGAAGAAGCACCGGCAAACUCUGUGCCAGCCGCCGCCGUAAAAC